UUUGAUGUUAUUAUAAUGGACAACAAAUGUGCUGCUAUUUUUUCAAAAACAAGGCCAUUUCUAAGUGACACCAAACAUUUGAACGGUAGUGUAUGUUGAAGAGGUCAAGCUGCAUACCCGUCUCACCCCAUGACCCAGGGGAAAGACAUCGUGAAUUUGUGAAUGUUAACUGCACACUUCUUGUUUUUCUACAUGGAUUUAUGUUGUUUUUGCUCAAUGAUGGGUUUUUUUUUCACUGAAGAAAUGUUAAUGAUAAUGCAAAAUAUUUUCUUAAGGUUGCUGAGGAUGCAUUUCCCCCGGUAGAUUGGGGUCAAAUCUCCACUCUUGUGGAUUGGGAUGAUCCGUCCCUGGUUCCAAGAUGCCAGAGCUGAGGAUGAUUUCAAAUAGUUUCAUUUUAGCCAAUUAAAAUGUGUGGUGUGCAUAUGUUAUCAUUUCAAUGAGGAUACCAUCAACACCACAGGCCUUUUUGGGUUGGAGGGUUUGUAUUUUGUCCUGUAGUUCAUUCAAGGUAAUUGGAGAGUCCAGUGGGUUCUGGUAGUCUUUAAAGAUGUGUAUUUGAUCAUGUACGUUGUUUUGCUGUUUUUUCUUUGUUAUAGAGCCAAAAAGAUUGGAGAAGUGGUUUACCCAUACAGUACAUACAGUACAUACAGUACAUACAGUACAUACAGUACAUCACCAUUUUGGAUAGAUAACUAUUCAUGUUGUUGUUUGUUUAGUGUUUUUCAAUUUUCCCAGAGUUGGUUCAAUUCUAUUAAUUCUUCAACUACAUUGAGUUGAUUUCUGACGUGCUGUUCCUUCUUUUUCUGUAUUGGUUUAGUGAUUCACUAUAGUGAAGGCUCAGGUUUACCCAUACAUCUCUGGUUUAGUGAUUCACUAUAGUGAAGGCUCAGGUUUACCCAUACAUCUCUGUUUUAGUGAUUCACUAUAGUGAAGGCUCAGGUUUACCCAUACAUCUCUGUUUUAGUGAUUCACUAUAGUGAAGGCUCAGGUUUACCCAUACAUCUCUGUUUUAGUGAUUCACUAUAGUGAAGGCUCAGGUUUACCCAUACAUCUCUGUUUUAGUGAUUCACUAUAGUGAAGGCUCAGGUUUACCCAUACAUCUCUGUUUUAGUGAUUCACUAUAGUGAAGGCUCAGGUUUACCCAUACAUCUCUGUUUUAGUGAUUCACUAUAGUGAAGGCUCAGGUUUACCCAUACAUCUCUGUUUUAGUGAUUCACUAUAGUGAAGGCUCAGGUUUACCCAUACAUCUCUGUUUUAGUGAUUCACUAUAGUGAAGGCUCAGGUUUACCCAUACAUCUCUGUUUUAGUGAUUCACUAUAGUGAAGGCUCAGGUUUACCCAUACAUCUCUGUUUUAGUGAUUCACUAUAGUGAAGGCUCAGGUUUACCCAUACAUCUCUGGUUUAGUGAUUCACUAUAGUGAAGGCUCAGGUUUACCCAUACAUCUCUGUUUUAGUGAUUCACUAUAGUGAAGGCUCAGGUUUUCUGGGUCUCUGUGUCUUUGGUUGGAUCGGUUUCUCAAUUUCUUUCUUAGGUUUUUGAAUUCUUCAUCAAAACAUUUGGUAUUGUUGUUCAUCUUCUUCGAUUGUCUGCUUGACAUUUUGGGAUUUGAUAGGGAAGCUGAGAGGUCAAAUAUACUGUUCUAGAAAGGGGACAGCUAUGAUGCUCUGUGGCCCUGUUCUAGAAAGGGGACAGCUAUGAUGCUCUGUGGCCCUGUUCUAGAAAGGGGACAGCUA